GCAGCCAUUAAAAUCCUCGGUUACCGUUCAAUAAUAUUGACAAAUUUGGCUCUUUUGAGGGUGUUUAACUAUUAAUAACAACAGUCUUCACCUGAUAUAUCACCCAUGAGAAGGCGAACAAUUUGCAUCAAUGAUAUUAAGUUACAAGGAUCUGCAGAAAUGCGUCAAUGUGAGAAGCGUAACAUGUGCUAGCCAGUUCCGCAUCGAAGCGAAAGGCCUGUUAGUUCAUUUCAGAACAAUAUAAGAUGUCAUCAGUAGGCCUGGACAACAAGUGAAGUUUACUACUCAUCUAGUGUCAAAAACAUUGUAGUCACGACUUUGACACUAGUUACGACUAUUUUAAACUCCUAAGAUACAUUGCGGCAAGUUGUUUGCCGCAGGCCCAAU